UACAGAGGUGUCAAGCGUUGCUCGGUGUCACUGGGCUUAAAGGGCGCGUAGGCUGCGCAGUACGGCUCGGGUGAAAUCCCUCGGCCCAACCGAGGAACUGCCCGGGCGACGGCUGUGCUGGACUGCAUCAGGGGCGGAUGGAACUCCCGGUGGAGCGGUGAAAUGCGUAGAUAUCGGGAGGAACGCCGGUGGCGAAAGCGAUCCGCUGGGGUGCAAGUGACGCUGAGGCGCGAAAGCGUGGGGAGCGAACAGG
rnacentral:rRNA from 1 species